CAAAAUUUAAGACCAAUUGUUAAUAAAAUUGUAUCGACCCAUCUACUAUGAUUUCAUAUAGACUCAUCUACAGAAGGCUAAUGCCAUGGAUGUUGCUUCCAGUGUUUUCACGUUAAGAUAACAUAGAAUCGAAGUCUAGAAUCAUACAACUAUAAUAGAAAGAAGUGGGAUUGCUUGCUGCGAUAUAGAGAAACAUAUAUGGUGCAUUAGAUGGUGUUCAUAUUAUAGAUCUAACCUAUUAAUGGAUCAAUAAUACUUAAAUUACACUGUAGGCAGUGCUAAUCUAAAAGCGACAAAAAUAUUUUGUAUUUAUAGAGCUUGCAUGUCAUUAUGUUACUUACUUUAUCAAUCAACACUUUGUUCUUAUAUUUUUAGGGCCUCAAAGAUUAUGGCACAGACACCGUUGAAUUCAUCGACUACAGGAAACGAGACAUGGACAAUCAAAGUCAAGGUUUUAAGACUUUGGGACCCAAUUAACUUAUUAACUAAUGAACUCAUUAGCACUGAUGUGAUUUUACUAGAUAAAAAGGUGCAAGUAUUACAUGUAUAAUGUCUCUUCAAUUUACCCUUUCCAAAGUUUGCUGAUGUUUUCUCUAUGUAAGGUGAUGUAAUCCAUGCUUCUAUUUGGAGCAAACUGGUCGAUAAAUUUAAAUCAAAAAUUAAAGAGGUACAAAAUUAAGACCUUCAAAGUUUGGGAGUAUGAAAAAUACCGACCAUUGAAGAAAAAUCUCAAGAGAAGUUUUGUCUAUGAUACAACGAUGAAGGAAGUGGAUGAAGGAAAAUCCAAGUUUUUGGACUACCACUUUGAAUUUGCUUAUGGUGAUACCUUGGAUAGUAGGGUGAUUAUUGAUAAAUAGUGCUCGGGUACAAUCAAAAUCCAUAUCGAAGAACAAGCACCGGUGAACUAGAUUUGUAAGUAUGAUUAUGUGCAGAUGUCAUUGGAUUUCUUACUACAAUGAAGCCAAUAUAGCAAGUGCAAAAAUAAAUAAAGGGACGGGCAUGACGCAAACUUCAAACGUCCGUGAGAUUGAAGUCCUUUCACUAGAGUAAGUGAUUAUAUUCUAUAGAUAUUUUUGAAUUGCAUAUAUGAUCUUUAUAUAUCACUUUUUCAUGAUUAAAUGCAUGAAGUGGUGAGAUAAUCAGAAUCACGCUACGGGGGAAUAUUUGCAAAUAUGGAGAAUGAAAAGCUUUUAAACAAAUAAACAAUAGUGAUUGUCACUUCAAAUUUGGUCAGAAAAUUCAAUGGUGAGAACUAUAAUCUCUAUGUGUAAACCUGAAUCCAAAUUACUGACAAUUUAUUACCAGGGCUAUCACUACGCCCGACAAAUGCAUCUAAAGUCUUCCUGGACCCUGAAAUUCUAGAGACAGACCAAAUUAUUGAGAGGCAUUGUGAAAGCGAUGUUAUUCCAACAAUGGUUGGAAUUGACGAAAGCACCCAAGGAAUGAUUGAAGAGCAAAUGUUCUACAAUAAAAAAACAUUGAGGGAAAUUAUAGAACUAUGAUAUGUUGAUGUUAAAAGAAAGGUUUCCCUCUAACCUUGAUCAUAAAAAUCUUAUACCUUCUCUAUUUUACAUUAUUAUGUAAACUCAUAUGUUUAAUCUUUAAUAGGAAUUUGUAUGCAGGACAAAAGCAACAAUUGAUGAUAUUAUAACAUAAACACCAUAACUAUAUUUGCACUUCCUGUCAUUAAGUAUCUGAAAAUCCCAACAUAAGGUGAGCAUGUUAAUGCACUAGAUUGUCUUUGGUGCCAUUUCUUUUAAUAAUAGACCAGUAAUAACUGACACUAUCAUAUUAGGUACCUAAUUAAACUUGAAGGUACGCGAGGACACGACAACAACAACUUUCGUUAUGUUUAAUGAGGUAGCAAAGAGUCUUUUGGGCAACAUAUCUGCAUCAACCCUAUUAGAGCAGGAGGGAUUCAACAACAUAGUACCAGAUAUUAUUUAAGACCUUUAUGGCAGAAAACUCAUAUUCCGACUUAAGUUAAAUUCAAGGAAUCUAUAAGAGUGUACGGAAAAUUUUAAAGUGAGCUUCACUUUUGAAGUUGAUGACAGACUUGAGAUGGAAUAUUCAAAUGAAAUAGUUGAAGAGGUAUGCACAUGCACAUUUCAGUAUUUUAAAUGGUUUAUAAAAUUAUAACGCGAGUACAUUCUUUAAAGCGUAUACUGGAAAGGCAAGACACACAAGGUUCUUCAAAUUUUGCUAUGCAGAAGUCCGAUAACAAGGUAUUGCCACUAAUUAAUGGUUUUGCUGUCACGAGUGUGCAAUUUUUGUUUUAAAGUAUUAAAAAAAUAUUUUUAUAGGUCAACCACUCCUCCAAGAAUGCAAGAAAUGAUGAGAAGGAGGAUAUGUGCUGAAAGGAAACCUCUAAAUCAUCUAACAAAAAGCAACAAAGGAGGACAAAGAGAAAGAAGUCUAGCAAAAUAUAUGAAAAAGAUGUGACAAUGUUUGCUUCCAGAAAUAGCAGAAAACCAAUUGUUAAAAUCGAUGCUCCUGAUGACGAGCGAGACAACAAUAGUCACGCCGACAACAACUGUACCAGCACAGAUGACCGUAAUGAAGAAUGGAACGCCAAAACUAGAAGCAGAACAAAGAAGGAAAGGACCGAUUGCAUAAAGAGGAGGAAAAUAUCAUCUAAAGACAUGCAGCCAACCUUGUAUGAUAGACCUAAGAGGAUUAGGAGAGAACCAGCGAGAUACAUGGGCUAGGCAUUAUACAGCAGCAAGUGCUUACAUACGUCCAAUAGCUGCAAGAAUUGAAGAAUAUACUAUACACACUCUAUACUUAGUAGUAAUUUGCAUUGAUAAACGUUUAUGUUUAUUUUAUGCUCCACGAGAGUACGGAUUGAAGUUAUCAUGUGUACUCAGACAUAUACUUAAAAAAAAUUUAGUUACACUCGCUUGUGUCUUCUUUAGCAUCUACCUCAUUCAACACUAACAACGCCCAUAAAGAAAUAAACACUGAUUUAUUUUUAAGAAUUGAAGAAAAUCGAAGGAG